rnacentral:lncRNA from 1 species
CUCUUUGUGAUUUCCCAUGUAGCAUUUGCCUGCCCUUGGAUAGAAUAUUUGGAUGAAUUUUGGGGUCACCUCAGGUACAGCCUCUGCUCUGCAAGCUAAAGUUCAUGAACUGUGUUUACCUGUUGGAAAGUCAGAAUGGCAGAGGGGAAAGGCACUAAGCUAGAGCACUCGGGGAAUGGACAAGUGGACAGACAUUCUUUUCUGAGAGGCAGGAAUGACCUAGACAUUCCGAAAUUGAAAGCCAGAUGUUGGGAUAAAACUCUAGACUCAAUUUGAAUCGUAGGAGUGUUGACAACCUUGAUGAAAUCCUAUGACUAAAACUUUCUAGAGUAGAGGGGAAUUAAUGGGGCCUAAGUAGGGUAACCCACCUUGAAAAUAACCAGAUCCCUCUAUUUAUAUCAGAAACAAAUGUUUGGACUCUUUAAGUGCCAUGGUCUGAAUGUUUGUGUCUCCCCCAAAAUUCAUAUAUUGAAACCUAAUCCCCAACGUGGUGGUAAUUGAAGGCAGAGCCUUUAGGUGGUAAUUAGGUCAUGAGGGCAGAGCCCUCAUGAAUGGGAUUAGUGCCCUUAUAAAAGAGGGCAGAGGGAGCUUGUUUGGCCCUUCAGCCAUGUGAAGACGCAGCAAGAAAGUGCCAUCCAUGAAGCAGAGAGUGAGACCCCAUCAGACACUGAGUCUGCUGAUGCCUUGAUCUGGGACUUCCCAGCCUUCAGAACUGAGCUGUAACACUCACUGUGAAGGUCUGUGGCUUCACCCCUGAAGUCAGCGAGACCACGAACCCACUGGGAGGAAUGAACAACUCCGGACGUGUCACCUUUAAGAGCUGUAACACUCACUGCGAAGGUCUGCGGCUUCACUCCUGAAGUCCAGCGAGACCACGAACCCACUGGAAGGAAGAAACUGUGGACACAUCUGAAGGAACAAACUCCGGACACACUAUCUUUAAGAACUGUAACACUCACCACGAGGGUCCGCGGCUUCAUUCUUGAAGUCAGCGAGACCAAGAACCCACCCAAAGGAACCAAUUCCGGACACAGGGUGGAGGAGGGGGUGAAGGUUAAUGUGCAAUUUCUAGAUGAGAAUGCCUGUGGCUUCUCUUAACCACAUAAAUGAACAAGCACUGGCAGAGAGACAGAUGGCUUAGCUGGCCCAGAGCAGCCCCAGUGCUCUUAGGGAAGGAAAAGAGCCCCCUUCACUUCACUUCAGUUCCUCCUUUCCCCAGCAGGGUGAGCAACCCCUAAAGACCAUCGUUAUUUUGAGGGCUUUUGUUUAAGUAUAGCACAUAUAUUAGAAUGUACUAUGGUGAUGGCCUAUGGUGCUCUUGAAUUGUUUCAUAAAUAUUUAUCCUGAAUCCCCAGAAAGAUUAGAAACUCAUUGAGAGCCAGAUCCAGUAUCCAUGCUGCUUCUAUGUCUCAAAAGGCUUAACUGAGGCACAGAGUAAAUGGUCAGUCAUUAUGGGUAUGAUUGAAUGAAAAAAUAAAUCCUUAAUUUUGAAACUCAAUACAACCUGGUUUUACAGAUGUGAGGAUAAUGAUAUGGCAUAUUCAAAGGACGUAGAAAGGAGUUAGGAACUGGCAAAAGAGUUUAAACCAUCAAGAGUAGCUCCGUUGUAUGAAAAAAGCAUACCCCCCUCAAAC